AGAAAUACAAUAGGCUGGUCCUCUAUCUCUAAUAUACCGUACCGGGUACUAGUAUCUCAAAUAUCCUUUAAAGGACAGGGAACAAGUCUUUCAAUGUAGGUAUUUUGAUUGGUUUAAUCAAAAUGCUUUGGUUAAAAAAGUACUGUCAUAUGUAGUUUUGCAAUUGAACUUCGACAGAGCGACAGUAUUUCUUUCAUCCAGCAAAAAGAAGAUUGGUAAUGGAAUAUCGUCAACGAGAAAACAAAGAUAGAAUACGCACUCCUUCUAGUCCUUCAAGAGUGGCAUUGUAUAGUCCUUAGUGCACUCAGGAAUCCUUCACCAAAGAUUUAACAGCUGAAUGUCCUGAAUAGGAGCACGUUUUCUAUGACAUUAAUAUGCAGAGAAGCAUUUUGUGAAAGCAGUGACAAAACCCUUUAAAGGUAUCUAAAGGCGACUUGGCCAAAAAUCCUGGCAGAAUCUAGCCUACGGAUCUGAAAUGAAGUACUGGGUACGGCUCAACAGACCCUCAUGCACAUGAUCCAAAGUUGUAGUGAGGACGGAACCUUUUUGGGAAAGCAUGGCCUAUAUUUCAUUUAAUUUCAUCCGUUUGUCUUUUGAUUAAAUCAUGUUAAUGAUACGUAA